GGGCCGCACCCAUGGUAUAUGGAAGUUCCCAGGCUAGGGGUUAAACUGAAGCUGCAGCUGCUGGCCUACAUCAUAGCCACAGCAACUCAGGAUCCAUGGGGAGUCUGCGACCUACACCACAGCUCAUGGCAAUGCUGCAUUCCUGACCCACUGACGGAGGCCAGGGGUUAAACUCACAUCGUCAUGGAUACUAGGCGGGUUUGUUACCACUCAGCCACGCUGGGAACUCCUCUCUAUUUUUUACUGUAAAGUUUUUUUUUCUUUUUAGGGAUGCACCCAUGGCAUAUGGAAGUUCCCAGAUUAGGGGUAGAAUCAGAGCUAUAGCUGUCAGCCUACGCCACAGCAAUGCCAGAUCCAAGCCGUGUCUGCAACCUACACCAUCGCUCACAGCAAUGCUGGAUCCUUGACCCACUGAGCGAGGCCAGGGAUUGAAGCUUCCUCCUCAUGGAUACCAGUCAGGUUUGUACUGGCUUCGCCAGAAAGGGAGCUCCUGAUCGUGAAAAGUUUUUAUGAAGUUUUUAUGGAUUUAUAAAAUCCAUGCUCACUUAAAUAAAAAAGAACUAAGAAAUAUGCAAUGCAGACAAUGAAAUUCCCCCAAAUCUUUCCUUCCAAUUUCUCCAUAAAUGAUAAUUAUAAUAAAAAUAGCAUACACUUCCGUGGCACUUGUUAUGUGCCAAGCGCUCUAAGCGCUUUGUACUUGUUGGCUCAUUUAGCCCUUGCAACAUCCUUGUGAGGCAGGCACUGCUAGAGUCACCACUUCACAGAUGAAGAAGCUGAGGCACAGGAAGGUAUCGUGCCUCUGGUCACACAGCUAGUGGGCAGUAAGGCUGGGACUUGGACUCCAACAGAUUGGCUUCAAGUCUAUGCUCUUGACCACCCCUGAAAGCUGAGGGUAUAAUGCUCUGGCCCCUUUUCCCCAGGUGAACACAUCACGCACUCAUUUUUAUUUGUUUAUUUAUUUUUUGCUUUUUAGGGCUGUACCCACAGGAUAUGGAGGUUCCCAGGCUAGGGGUCAAAUUGGAGCUGCAGCUGCCGGCCUACACCACAGCCACAGAAAUGCAGGACCUGAGCCAUGUCUGUGACCUACACCACAGUUCACGGCAAUGCCAGAUCCUUAAUCCACUUAGUGAGGCCAGAGAUUGAAUCCACAACCUCAUGGUUCCUAGUUGGAUUUGUUUCUGCUGCACCACGACGGGAACUCCAUGCAUCCAUUUUUAAUUAUGGUAAAGGGGUUUCUUACACUGGACCCAUACUAUGGGUGACAGCUAUAGAAAUAAGUGGGUGAAGUCUUACUCCUGAGUAAGUUUCUCUCCAUAAUAAGCAGAGACAAGGAUAAACUUACUGUCUUACACCAGAGUGUGAAGAUGUGUUGAGAAACCAGAGAUUGUCAUCAAGUUAUACACUGGAGGCAGCAACUAGAAAAGCUUAUCUGCAGGCAGAGGAAACAAAAGCUCAAAUCCCAGCUCUGCAAAUGUAGUGGUCCUGUGCCUGUGGGAAGUCACCUGACCUCCCUGGCAUUCAUCUGCCCCUUGGGAAGAGGAAGUAGUUAUCCCACUAUGGGGGCAGUGAAUAAGCACAAGUUCACGGACACUUGUCAAUAACGUUUUUGGUCUUCUGCUGUCCUGUCCAUGAAGCUGAGCUUCGGCAGCUGCUAGUAAGGCAGGACAGCCAGACAGAUUCGGCACAAUCACAGGUUUGGAGAGUCAACUCAGGGCAGGCAACAAGUGGCUCUUAGUGAAUGUCUGAUAACAAAUGACCAGCUAUAUCCCCAGGUCCUGCCUGCUCCCUUUCAUGCACUUUACCAAUGUUGAAGUGAGAAUGUAUGUAUAGGCUUUUAAUAAAAACUAUUUACUUAAAAAAGUUCACUUACAGGAGUUCCCAUCGUGGCUCAGCAGAAACGAACCUGACUAGUAUCCAUGAGGACGUGGGCUGGAUCCUAGGCCUCCCUCAGUGAGUUAAGAACCCGGCAUUGCCGUGACCUGCAGUGUAGGUCGAAGACGUGGCUCAGAUCCUGUGUUGCUGUGGCUGUGGCGUAGGCUGGCGGAUACAGCUCAGAUUCAACUCCUAGCCUGGGAACUAUGCUGCCCUAAAAAGACCAAAAAAGAAAAAAAUUUUUUUUUCACUUACAAUAUCAUCUAGCUGCAGACAGACAGGAUCCUCGUCUCUCCCAAACCUGAGAACCAACACCUUCUCUGCAGUACUUUUUAUUGCCUGGUCUACUUCCUUUUUGCUGCUCAGCUUGGGUAACAGGAAGCUCAUGUUGAAAUAACCCAAAUAUCAAUCCUCACUGUCAGUCCUGAAAUAAAGCUGUGAUAUUUAAAGAGAAAGUAAAAUGCAUAAGUCCCAAUUUAAAUUAUUUUCAUUAUUGGAGUAGGUAUCAUAUUUUUUUUCCAGAGGAAAAAAGGUUUCAUACAACAUAUUAAAAAAGUAGAAGAAGCACAUAAAUGUGUAAACUGGUGGCAAGUCCAUUGUUUAAAAAGAGACUACAGAAAAAGGAGUCUUGGAGUUCAUGUCGUGGCGCAAUGGAAACGAAUCCAAUUAAGAACCAUGAGGUUGCAGGUUCGAUCCUUGGCCCCACUCAGUGGGUUAAGGAUCUGGCGUUGCCAUGAGCUGUGGUGUAGGUCGCAGACUCGGCUUGGAUCUGGCGUUGCUGUGGCUGUGGUGUAGGCCGCAGACUCGUCUUGGAUCUGGCGUUGCUGUGGCUGUGGUGUAGGCCAGCAGCUGUAGCUCCGAUACGACCCUUAGCCUGGGAACCUCCAUAUGCCGCAGUAAAUAGUUACCAGGUAACUACUUCAAUUAAUGUCUUCAGAAUCUUCCAGGGUUUUGUUACACAUUCACAAGAAAACACCAGCAUGUGUUCUUACGUUUUAUCCCUUUUUCACCCCAAAGAUAGCAUAUUCCAGCAGUCAGUAUUCCAGAAGGAAAGAGCGGACACCUUCAAACUUGGUAAUCAGAAGCCUCUCAUUAAGGCAGGGGACAGGAAACCAGUAGGUGUAGUGCAGUACCCUGGGCUAGAAACAGCGACAGUGCGAGCAGUUCUAGAACUGCGUGGCUGAUAUUGCUGAACGGAGAGGGCCGCUAUCCAGGAUGUCAGGCUGCAGCUAAAGGACGCAGCCACUCUCCUCCCGCCCUCUGCUCACCUGCUAAUGCUUCCAAUGGUGAUUCCAAUUGGAACAAAGAGGGUAGGGGAGCUGCAGAGGCCAACAAGCCUCCUUGUCCAGGGCAGUUUAGAGAAGGGGAAAGAGUGGAUAGAAGGGGCACACGGCAGACGUCCAGCACACAUAGUCUACCCACUCCUCUGUACUUUGAACUUGACCUCACAUAUGAAGAUCUUCUCUUAUCUCUAAGCAGAAAACCCACACAUUCUUUGUCAUAGCAGCAUGCUGUGUCAGGCAUGUUCACUGAGGGCCAUUUGUACCAUCAUGACUCCUGGCUUAAAGAUUUUGGUAUAUCACAUCACAUGGCAAAUGGACAAACUGAGAGUGUGUAAAAACGACACACACACCAAACUGUAAAAUACAGAGAGAUGGGGCCCCUCGUUUUCAUACCAGUUUGCUCAUACUUACACUUCCAGCUACAAGCACAAGGACUAGAACCCAUGCUGCCAAAUGUCUAGUCCAGACUUAUUUUUACUUAUAUCUUACCACAAGUCUUAUUUUUAUGAUUGAGAAAUUCUUUAAUCAAUUUUUUCCCCUUUUUCUCUUUUUGCCUUUUCUAAGGCCGCUCCCGUGGCAUACAGAGGUUCCCAAGCUAGGGGUCUAAUCGGAGCUGUAGCCACCGGCCUACACCAGAGCCAUAGCAACUCGGGAUCUGAGCGCGUCUGCGACCUACACCACAGGUCACGGCUUAACCCACUGAGCGAGGCCAGGGAUCAAACCCACAACCUCAUGGUUCCUAGUCGGAUUCGUUAACCACUGCGCCACAAGGGGAACUCCCAAUCAAUGAGUUUUUUUUGUUUUGUUUUUGUUUUUUGCUGCACGUGCGGCAUGCGGAAGUUCUGGGGCCAGGCACCUGAGCCACUGCAGUGACAAUGCCAGAUCCUUAAUCCUUAAACUUCUGAGCCAACCGCAAUUCCAAGGAGCUUUACUUUUGAUCCAUCCAUGAUAAACUCCAUUGAGAUACCUGGUAUUUUAAGUUCAGUUCCAAAGUUGUCUAAUGCUAUGAAAAAAGAGGACUUCCUUCCCUCCCUCUCUCUUAUGUGACAAGCAGCAUUUUAAGAUAUGAAUUACUAAAAUUCGCAUAAGAAAUGGAACUGUUCCAGUCAUGAGCCAUAUUUUAAAUAGGGAAGCUGAUUGCCAGAAGGUACUUCAUCAAACAGGAAUGGCAGAACAAAUUCUGAGAGGGAAAGGGGAAAGCUAAAGAAAAGAUGGAUCUGUCGAACCACUAGAAUUCAACCAAACAGCAAUUUCUGCGUGUUACUGAUAAAAAGAGGAGGAAAUGGCAGGAGAGCAAAGUUGUCAUCAGAGUGAGUGGGGAGGUGAGGGUGUGAGAGUGGAAUUGAAUAAAUGUUGAAAAAAGGAAAGGGAAAUUGAGACCACACCUAAGAAAAUGUCUAUAGCAAAGGAUAAAAACAAGGAAUUCAGAAAGAAGACAGACGAGAAAAAAAAAAAUUUGGAAAGUUUCACUGCUAAGUAAAGAAAAGCAAAUUAAAAGAUGUAUUUUAGGAGUUCCCACUGUGGCACAGCGGAAAUGAAUCCAACUAGCAUCCAUGAGGAUGUGGAUUUGAUCCCUGGCCUCUCUCAGUGGGGUGGGGGGGAAUCUGGCCUUGCGUCAGCUCUGGUGUAGGCCAGCAGCUGUAGCUCUGAUUUGACUCCUACCCUGAGAACUUCCAUAUGCUGUGGGUGUGGCCACAAAAAGUAGAAAAAAAAAAGUUAUAUUUUAAAAAGCCAUUAAACUGGCAAAGAUUAAAUGAUAAAGGCAAGAAUGUCAGUGAAGGGACAGGCUUCAUAGUCCCCCCUAGAAAACAGAGAACAAACCUUGUCUAGAAAGAAACCUGAAAUACAACUCCAUCUCUGAGAAUUAUUUCCUAGUAAAUAACCAGACAUACGCAGAAAGAUUUAUGUAAAAAGGAUAUUUGUCACGUUUUUAACAGUGAAAAACUGGAAACAACUUACACUGCCAUCGGUAGGAGAAUCGUGAAAUGAAGGAUGGCAGUCCUGUAACAUACUAACACACUGUCACUACAUAUUGCGUUAUAGAUUAACAAUUCAGAUACGUGAAAAAUCCUCGUAAUAAAGAAAAAAGUCAUAAAACAGUAGUAUACAAAGGGUGAUUCCGCUUUUGUACAAAACCUAACUAUAAUGCAAAUAUACAUAUUCACAUAGGAAAUAACUAAAAAUGAAUAUCCUCAAACACCCUCAGUGGUUUUCACUGCGUGUGAACUUACGAGUGACUUUUACUCACACUGGGGUGCACGUCUUCAUUUUUCCAAUAUCCCCGACAUACCUAUUUUUUAUGAUGCCAGUGGCUGGACUACUCCUGGCCCACAAGUGCCGGGGAAAAAUGAUACUUUAUUUGCACGUCAUCUUCCUCGCCAGCACUUCAAGGCUUUCGGCAACCCUGACACUUUCUCCAAAAAGCCGCGACGCCGGCGACUCCUUUCUUCUUCCGCAACCGCGGCGGCGACCCUAAACCAGAGUAACCCAGGGGCUGUUGCCAAAUAACUCUCGGCCGACCUCUUAAGUGGACGGAAACGGAAAAAGAAAACGCACAAACGCAGUGAUUAACGCGCGGUCUGUUCAGUUCAGCAGCCCAAUAAGCGG
rnacentral:lncRNA from 1 species